rnacentral:rRNA from 1 species
UGGGGAAUAUUGGACAAUGGGCGCAAGCCUGAUCCAGCCAUGCCGCGUGAGUGAUGAAGGCCCUAGGGUUGUAAAGCUCUUUCACCGGUGAAGAUAAUGACGGUAACCGGAGAAGAAGCCCCGGCUAACUUCGUGCCAGCAGCCGCGGUAAUACGAAGGGGGCUAGCGUUGUUCGGAUUUACUGGGCGUAAAGCGCACGUAGGCGGACUAUUAAGUCAGGGGUGAAAUCCCGGGGCUCAACCCCGGAACUGCCUUUGAUACUGGUAGUCUUGAGUUCGAGAGAGGUGAGUGGAAUUCCGGGUGUAGAGGUGAAAUUCGUAGAUAUUCGGAGGAACACCAGUGGCGAAGGCGGCUCACUGGCUCGAUACUGACGCUGAGGUGCGAAAGCGAGGGGAGCAAACAGG